UUAAGUUCAGCGGGUAGUCCUACCUGAUUUGAGGUCAAACUUUCAGUAAGUAUUUGUCCACAAAAGCGGGGACGGUUGGCAGCUGAACAAGACAGAGAGCAACCCACUGGCGUAGAUAAUUAUCACACCUGUGACGGAUCGCAAACGGUUCCGCUAAUGCAUUUCAGAGGAGCUGACCUGACUAGGCCGGCAUGACCUCC
rnacentral:misc_RNA from 1 species